UACCUUACUACUUGGAUAACCGUGGUAAUUCUAGAGCUAAUACAUGCUGAAAACCCCAACUUCGGAAGGGGUGUAUUUAUUAGAUAAAAAACCAAUGCCCUUCGGGGCUCCUUGGUGAUUCAUAAUAACUUCUCAGAUCGCAUGGCCUUGCGCCGGCGACGGUUCAUUCAAAUUUCUGCCCUAUCAACUUUCGAUGGUAAGGUAUUGGCUUACCAUGGUUUCAACGGGUAACGGGGAAUUAGGGUUCGAUUCCGGAGAGGGAGCCUGAGAAACGGCUACCACAUCCAAGGAAGGCAGCAGGCGCGCAAAUUACCCAAUCCCGACACGGGGAGGUAGUGACAAUAAAUACUGAUACAGGGCUCUUUUGGGUCUUGUAAUUGGAAUGAGUACAAUUUAAACCUCUUAACGAGGAACAAUUGGAGGGCAAGUCUGGUGCCAGCAGCCGCGGUAAUUCCAGCUCCAAUAGCGUAUAUUAAAGUUGUUGCAGUUAAAAAGCUCGUAGUUGAACCUUUGGCCUGGCUGGCAGGUCCGCCUCACCGCGUGCACUUGUCCGGCCGGGCCUUCUUUUCUGGAGAACCGCAUGCCCUUCACUGGGUGUGUUGGGGACCAGGACUUUUACUUUGAAAAAAUUAGAGUGUUCAAAGCAGGCCUUUGCUCGAAUACGUUAGCAUGGAAUAAUAGAAUAGGACGUGCGGUCCUAUUUUGUUGGUUUCUAGGACCGCCGUAAUGAUUAAUAGGGACAGUCGGGGGCAUCAGUAUUCAAUUGUCAGAGGUGAAAUUCUUGGAUUUAUUGAAGACUAACUACUGCGAAAGCAUUUGCCAAGGAUGUUUUCAUUAAUCAGUGAACGAAAGUUAGGGGAUCGAAGACGAUCAGAUACCGUCGUAGUCUUAACCAUAAACUAUGCCGACUAGGGAUCGGGCGGUGUUAUUAUUUUGACUCGCUCGGCACCUUACGAGAAAUCAAAGUG
rnacentral:rRNA from 1 species